AUUGAACGCUGGCGGCAUGCUUUACACAUGCAAGUCGAACGGUAACAGGCCUUCGGGUGCUGACGAGUGGCGAACGGGUGAGUAAUGCAUCGGAACGUACCCAGAGGUGGGGGAUAACGCAGCGAAAGCUGUGCUAAUACCGCAUGUGAUCUGAGGAUGACAGCGGGGGACCGCGCAGCAAUGUUUGGCCUCGCGCCUUUGGAGCGGCCGAUGUCGGAUUAGCUAGUUGGUGGGGUAAAGGCCUACCAAGGCGACGAUCCGUAGCUGGUCUGAGAGGAAGAACAGCCCACCUGGGACCGGAGACCGGGCCCGACCCCUACGGGAGGGGGCAGGGGGGAAUUUUGGACAAUGGGGGCAAGCCUGAUCCAGACAAGCCGGGGGGGGGAAGAAGGCCUUCGGGUUUGAAAACCCUUUUGGGGGGAAAGAAAAGGGUGUCCUUAAAACCCGGGGGUUAAGGCGGGACCCAAAGAAAAAGCAACGGGUAAAUUCGGG
rnacentral:rRNA from 1 species